rnacentral:lncRNA from 1 species
AUUUUGUACGAAAUACAGAGUUGCAAUUCUAAAAAUUUUAUUUUGCUUUUUAUGCGGCUUCGUUCGGAACUGUGGGGAUUGCAUUACGUAUAAUAAAAAAGUGUGAUGAAAAAAUAUUUUUUUUUCCGUACGUAAUAUUGUGUUUCGCAUAACGCGAUGAGUCGGUUACAACGUAUUUUCUACGUUCUCACCGGAAAACGCAGAAACAUAUCUUUACAUAUUUUUAUCCCAACUUCAUUUUAUUUAAUAGCGUCGGAUGGGCCUCAAUACCAAACUAAACCUCAUUUGCCCUUAAAUUAGAGGCAAAAUAAGUUUUUUUUUCUUUUUUUUUUUUACUUUUUGCUUUUUAAAUAUAUCCUUCUACUGUUAUUAACUUUUCUUAUUUAUCCUUAAGUUUGGAACAAAAUAGAUAUUUUGACUUUUUUAAAUUCUGAUAGAAAUUUAAUCCGGAGAGAUAAAAUUAACGCAUAUUAACAGCAGGAUUAUUUUUUAAUAAUAAAAAGAAAAUAUACGAGUGGUAUAUUUAAAACAAAAAGAAGAAUUGAAAUAUACGAAAUAUUUCAGAAGUUUUAAGGGAUACACUAGAUAUCAUCCCUAAAAGGUUCCUUUAAAUAUCCUUAUUUCCCCAAGGAUGUUACUUUGUGGAUUGGAUUUUUUGAAUAGGGAUUUUAGUAAUUUUAUAAUAAAAUUUAAAAAUUUUGAAUAGUAAUGAGGAUAAAUAAG